UACGUAGGGAGCAAGCGUUGUCCGGAAUCAUUGGGCGUAAAGCGCGCGUAGGUGGCCUCAUAAGUCCGCUGUGAAAGUCGAAGGCUCAACCUUUGAAAGCCGGUGGAUACUGUGAGGCUAGAGUACGGAAGAGGCGAGUGGAAUUCCUGGUGUAGCGGUGGAAUGCGCAGAUAUCAGGAGGAACACCAAUAGCGAAGGCAGCUCGCUGGGACGUUACUGACACUGAGGCGCGAAAGCGUGGGGAGCGAACAGG
rnacentral:rRNA from 1 species